rnacentral:tRNA from 5 species
GGCGGCGUAGCUCAGUUGGUUAGAGCGCGGGACUCAUAAGCCCGAUGUCACAGGUUCGAAUCCUGUCGCCGCUA